UGCGGCUGUGGUUCACCCUUCAAUUCCUUCUAUUCAUCUCAUUUUUUUUUUCAAUUUAGCACCUUAUUAUUCCAAAGUAACUAUUAGCAUAACAAUAUGGUAUUUGAAUCUCCAGAGCUCCUUUAAAGAAGUAGGUAAAACAUUAUAUAGGAGAACGACAAACUUUCAACGGAUCGAUAAACUGUCUUACAAUUUUAACCAAAGCGGCAGUAAUUCGCUACUGAAUUGCGUAACAAGGUAAAAUACCUUUACAUCCCUUAAACAUUUGUAUCGGAGAAUACGCCUCACAAAAACAGCUCCAGUAGCACAAACUUUAAAUUAGAUCGGAAUAGAUUUCGUGCGGACUAUUCAAUUAAGCAACAUUAAUCGAGUAUAACAGCUAGCCAAGUUUAAUGAAAUUAAAGAGGCCGGAAACUUAUAAUACUGCUCCAUUGCAAUGUACAUCGACCAAAUCCGAUGUGCUAGACUUCCGACCAUAGAAAUUUAAACGUUUAACAUUUCAAAGAAUUUAAAACUGCCGUAUCCAUUGUUUAAUUUACAGUAACGCCUGUUUUGGGGGUUCCUCAGUUUGUAGCGCUUUUGAGAGUUUUUUAAUGGGAUUUUUGUGAUGGAAGUAAAAAGUAACUAUACGAAAGUAUAAGUUAAGCCACUGACCGUUUGAAGAAAAAACACACGAGCGCGAAAUUUGACUCACGAUUCAAGCAUAUUUCCCUAAAAGAAUGGGUCCCAUCCACUUUCAUUCCUUAUCGCCGGUGACUAAACCUUUAUCGACUUGAUGACGCCCCGAUGUCGAUGUUUAGAAUAUCAGCUACAUUAGUGAAGUUGCCUCUCAAAAUGACACAUGCUUAAUAAAUCAGACAAUGAACACUGUAAAUUACCCCAGACGUUUUUUUCCCAUGCCCAGCACUUCUUUAUCCGGAGUAGAAAUGCUUUACUAUGGCCUACAAGGAAAAAUUUAUGACGACGCCUUACCACAAACCGUCGUCUUCAAUCGCAAAAGGUAUGUCUUACAUAUGUUAUUACUGUGAAAACUUGUGUUAACGCAGAAAAGUUAAAAAAGUCCACCGCAGUUCAAACAUUCAACAUUAUAGUUGAAGAUUCUGUUCUGGGGCAUCCGGAUUGUGCACGUUUUCCUACCGAAAUUGAUCCAUAAUCAUCGGAUGUGACAUUCACAUACAUUCAGAUGGAAAAAUCAGGAAAUAAAUAUCUUUAAAUCUGUACAAAGAGAAAGUGACUGCGACAGCACAAACUCCAAAAUGUGUGAGUUUGAUUUCAAGAUGUAGAACAAUAUAGUGGAUACCGUGGAGGAAAAAUGCCAAAGAUGGUUUUUGUUGGCAGGCCGGAUGAUCG